GGAUGUGACGGCGAUCUGGCUGCGACAUCUGUCACCCCAUUGAUCGCCAGGGUUGAUUCGGCUGAACUGGCUGGCUAGGCGGGUGUCCCCUUCCUCCCACACCACUCCAUGUGCGUCCCUCCUGAAGCUGCGUGCUCGGUGGAAGAGGACGACCAUCCCAGAUAGAAGGAGUGUACCGAUCUUUGGUCCAGGGUAUACAAUAGCUGUGCUCCCCUGCUAGAACCUCCAAACAAGCUCAAGGGUGACCUUCCUGUGAUCCACAAGGAAGGGAAAUGAGGGCUAGGGUUAGAUCCAGAAUUUGUGAGAGAAAAAGCUCUUGAACAACAGGCU
rnacentral:snRNA from 1 species